UACGGAGGGUGCAAGCGUUAUCCGGAUUCACUGGGUUUAAAGGGUGUGUAGGCGGAUUUUUAAGUCAGUGGUGAAAUCUCCGGGCUCAACCCGGAAACUGCCAUUGAUACUAUUAGUCUUGAAUUCUGUUGAGGUGGGCGGAAUACAUCAUGUAGCGGUGAAAUGCUUAGAUAUAGGAAGGAACACCAGUGGCGAAGGCGACCACCUGGACUGAUACUGACACUGAGGUGCGAAAGCUAGGGGAGCAAACAGG
rnacentral:rRNA from 1 species